rnacentral:rRNA from 1 species
UACGGGGGGGGCAAGCGUUGUUCGGAAUUACUGGGCGUAAAGGGCGCGUAGGCGGUUGGGUAAGUCAGCUGUGAAAACCACGAGCUUAACUCGUGGCCUGCAGUUGAGACUGUCUGGCUUGAGUGUGGGAGAGGAGAGUGGAAUUCCUGGUGUAGCGGUGAAAUGCGUAGAUAUCAGGAGGAACACCGGUGGCGAAGGCGGCUCUCUGGACCACAACUGACGCUGAGGCGCGAAAGCUAGGGGAGCAAACAGG